GGGGCUGACCGGUUUUGACAGCAGGCCGAGGCGGUGUGUAAGCAUGCCGAGCUAUCCUGAUGUCGCUCGUUAAAAGAUGCAGGGAACAACAACAGGCGAGUACAACUACGCUCUUGCCGCUUAAUUUUCUGAUUGAAGAUUAGGCUUGUUUCGCGCCAGGCGUGAAAGCAGGACAUCCCUCGAAAUCCCGGUCCCACGGAGUUCGAUUAAGGGGUGCCGAAAAUGAGGGAACCGGAAGCCACCGGCCACUGAGGGCUUCUUAAAUUUUAGUGGCUAAGCUUAGGGUAGGGUGUGGAUCCCCGGCCUUCGGUCGAAAAGUAAUGACCCACUAAGCAUGUAGAAAGCACAUGGUUUCCUUGUUUGGACGUGGGUUCAAAUCCCACCAGCUCCACAG
rnacentral:tmRNA from 1 species